GGUCUGAUAUUCAAUUAUGAUUUCAAAUUGCAAGUUUGAAGGUAAAGAUUUUUAUUUAAGACUU
rnacentral:tRNA from 1 species